rnacentral:lncRNA from 1 species
CUUGCUUUGUGAAGUCUCCAAUUAAAACCCAACAAAGCACAAGCUGCCUCGUAGUCUUGAGAGAAACUGGGCUUCAAAUGCUCGAGGAACUUCCUUGGUUUCUAAACCUGGACUUCAACCUCCUUGAUUAUUUUAUUUCAUUCUCAAAUGUCGAUCAUGUGUGACAAAACACAGUGAUACUAUAUAACAUUUUAACAUUAUUCGUGGAAGUUGUUUUGAAAUGGAAACAAUCGUUGUACUGAUUCUUAGCAUGAUAACAAGCAUGCAAAUCUUGUCUGUGGGCAGAAACCAAUGAAUGAACUGGGUGUAAAUUAAUUUGGAUUUUUUUAUUAAAAAACAAUUGAUGGCUAUUGGAGAGAUAGAAGGCGACGUGUGAGAAAGUGUCACGUGGCAAAUUGCUGGAGGCUCCAGCGAGACACGAGGUGUGGUGCGGUGCGAGAGUGAACCUUUCAAAGCAGUUUGAAGAGUGUGUGGAAGUGUGUGGCUGGCACGCAUCCCAUCGGGGCAGAUGUGGCGGCCUUCUUCUUCGUUUUCUUCGUGCCAAAGCUGCUGCGAUGGGGGCGGAGCGGUAGAGGCAGAGAUGCUUGCUGCGAGGAUGAUGCUUGGAGCUCCAACCAGCUCACCUAGCAAUGCAAGCCACUUCGGAGUAUAGAAAAAAGAGAUCGCCUCUGUCUGUCUUCAGGACCUGAUGUUACUCAACACCAGGAUGAUGCGCUGAUGAUGGGUAACAAGGUGAGAUGCGAAGUGUACAGAACGGAGCCUGCUGUUUCACAUUUGUGAAUCUGACAAACUGAAGAAGCAAGGUAUGAAAUGACAGGCAGAUGCGGUGCGAGUGUGCGGUGGGUAGCGCAAAAGGGUGGGAAGAAACCAACUCACCAUCGCGCCACAUCUCUUGAACCUUGUCACAGAUUUGCAGAUUUGUAAUGAGGGUGGGCAAGACCUGGUCGACAGUCAACUGUACACCCGUGUCUAUUUAAUAAAAACCACUAAAAGAUUCCUUCUUUGCGAUGUUCCUUUACAUUUCUAAAAUAAGAUUUCCCUCCCAAGGUUGAACGAGUCGGCUCACAAAAUCUGAGAUGGCAGGUAUUAUUUAUCUAAAAUUGUACUCUGAUGUGCCUUUCACGGGUGCAACUGUCC